UUUUUUUUUUUUAAAGCAUCAGUGUUCUUUUUUCCUCUUGACUGUAUAAUAAACUACUAUGACAACUUGAAGAUUGUCCAAUUUGAUUAUAUAUUUUUUCUUGAUGUGUUACAGGCUUAGGAAUCAGAUGUUUAAUGCUGAGAGACAGAUUUCCAAGAGUCUUGAUCUUGCUCUAUAUACCAGCUUUUUUAUUUUUUUCGAAGAGAAUAUUUUGAAUGUGCGACUUGUUUGGCUGAGAGGAGAUCACGCGGAGCCAAGUACAAUGCCAAGACAAGUGUUAAUAGAUGGCAAAAAGGGGGCAUUGAGAUUGCUCCCGGUGGACAAGGGAACCAAAUGCCUCUGUAGUGCCUAUGAGAUUCUCUAAACAUGUGCAUCCUUUGAAUAAAGAAGCAUAGCACUUAUAUUUCUGUGCUUGGCUUGAAAAUGGUUCAUGUCUUUUUCAAAGGGUAGUGGUUCCAAGUUCCAACAUCUGCACAAACUUCCAAACUCCCAAUCAACAAGGAGAUCUCUUUACCACAAAGCGGCAGCACUGGAGUGGAGACCACAUGGUGCAGGAGGAAGAAGCUUGGGUGAUGGCUAAAAGAUAAAGCUAAUGGUUGAUGGAGAUGCAAAAUAAUGGUUUGUUUUGGUGGAUAAAAUCAAAUUAUGAUUGAGGAUUGGUAUUCUUCCUUUUUCUUUUUUUUUUAUUAAUUUUGUCAACUGAUACAUGGAUGUGGACAGCAAAACCUUGAGUCACCAAUAAAAGUGUUUUGGUGGUCUGCUAUGCAUCCA